rnacentral:tRNA from 1 species
GGGCGCAUAGCUCAGCUGGGAGAGCGUCCGCCUUACACGCGGAAGGUUCGCAGGUUCGAGCCCUGCUGCGCCCACCA